GAAAUCAGCUGCCAGUAAAGCAGUAUUUAUUGCAAUUGAAGUUUUAAAUUAACCAGUUUUUACACGUUUGUUUGGGAAAAAGUGUCUUAUUUGUUGGAAUUGCCUCUCGAAGGACCCGAAAGUGUGACUUUGCGAUUUUUGCGACUUAAAUCGUUGGCGGGAUAUUAAGAGUGGGAAGUUUUGUGUGUGUAUUAAGAGUGGAAAAACAAGAACAUUCUACAGGGUGACCAAGAACAUCAAACGAAAUACUAACGAUAGACGGGAUCGCAAAUGACAGCAAAAAGGGGGUUUUUAAUCAAUUUGUGGAACAACUGGAAAUGUUUGCCUCCCAUAAAAAAUUACAGUCCCAAGAAAAUCAGGAAUUGCAAAACAAUUGCAGAAAAUUUGAUGUUUGGAAAGUGUGUAGCUGCUAGUCCAAAAAUGGUAGUUUUACUUAAUUGCCAGCUUCUAUACAAGACGUGCAGGAACCCGCAAAUUGUCCUUGCUUCAAAGACACUUGAGACUGAAAAUGUUUGCAACGUUGCAAAAGUUGCAUGACAAAUUUGAUCCCAAAAAAUCCCUCCAAAUAACUGCCUCGAUAGUUUUAAUUUGUUCCCAAACUUGUCUGCAAUAAAUCGAAUAAACCGCCCCAA